rnacentral:rRNA from 1 species
AGAGUUUGAUCAUGGCUCAGGAUGAACGCUGGCGGUACGUCUGACGCAUGCAAGUCGAACGGGAUCCAGAGCUUCGGUUCUGGUGAGAGUGGCGAACGGCUGAGUAACACGUAGGCACCUACCCCCCGGACUGGGAUAACCCCGCGAAAGCGGGGCUAAUACCGGAUAAUACCUUCGGGUUGAAACGCUCCGGUGCCGGAGGAGGGACCUGCGGCCUAUUAGCUUGUUGGUGGGGUAACGGCCUACCAAGGCUAUGAUGGGUAGGUGGUCUGAGAGGACGAUCACCCAGACUGGGACUGAGACACGGCCCAGACUCCUACGGGAGGCAGCAGCUCAGAAUCUUGCGCAAUGGGCGAAAGCCUGACGCAGCGAUACCGCGUGCGGGAAGAAGGCCUUCGGGUUGUAAACCGCUGUCAGGGGGGAAGAAUAAUGACGGUACCCCUAAAGGAAGCCUCGGCUAACUACGUGCCAGCAGCCGCGGUAAAACGUAGGAGGCAAGCGUUAUCCGGAAUUACUGGGCGUAAAGCGUUCGUAGGCGGCUUUGUGUGUCGGAGGUGAAAUCCCCGGGCUCAACCCGGGAACUGCCUUCGAAACUGCAAGGCUAGAGCACAUCAGAGGGUGAUGGAAUUCCCGGUGUAGCGGAAAAUGCUUAGAUAUCGGGAGGAACACCAGUGGCGAAGGCGGUCACCUGGGGUGUUGCUGACGCUGAGGAACGAAAGCCAGGGUAGCGAACGGGAUUAGAUA